AACGAACGCUGGCGGCAGGCCUAACACAUGCAAGUCGAAAGCCCUAGCAAUAGGGAGUGGCAGACGGGUGAGUAACACGUGGGAACGUGCCCUUCGGUUCGGAAUAACUCAGGGAAACUUGAGCUAAUACCGGAUAAGUGCGAGAGCAGAAAGAUUUAUCGCCGAAGGAUCGGCCCGCGUCCGAUUAGCUAGUUGGUGAGGUAAUGGCUCACCAAGGCGACGAUCGGUAGCUGGUCUGAGAGGAUGACCAGCCACACUGGGACUGAGACACGGCCCAGACUCCUACGGGAGGCAGCAGUGGGGAAUAUUGGACAAUGGGCGCAAGCCUGAUCCAGCCAUGCCGCGUGAGUGAUGAAGGCCCUAGGGUUGUAAAGCUCUUUCGCCAGGGACGAUAAUGACGGUACCUGGAUAAGAAGCCCCGGCUAACUUCGUGCCAGCCGCCGCGGUAA
rnacentral:rRNA from 1 species